ACUACAGGGAAAAACAAAUAGACAAUAACAUUUUGCAUGCAAAGGUUAGUUCUAACUUCAGAUUAGCAAAUCACACUAACACUGGGACUUACUCCAUUGAGUAAAUAACCCAGGUCAUGAUUAUUUUAAGCUUUGAUUCACCAAGUAUCUACUGGGCACCUACUAUGUGCCAAGCAGGUUAGGAACAAGGGCCAUGAAGAUAAAAAGAGAAAGGAAUCCUAGCUCUAGAGACCAGAGCAUAAAGCAGAAGACAGACACCAAAAUAUCAAAGCAAUAUUUUGUCUUACACACUAGAACAGAAAUAUGCAGCAAGCACUUCAAGAACACAGAGGAGGAAUGAUUAAAGCUUUAUAGAGAAAUGUGAAAUACUUCAAAGAAGUUAAACUCUUGGAUUUUGAUGACUAAGCAGGAACUGGCAUGUUGUAAAAUGAGGAAUGUACUGAAACUCUCCUAGAACUAAAAGCAUGAAUGCCUAAACAACAAAGUGCUGGAUUAAGAACUCAAGAAAAAAGGGCAGUGCCUCAGGCGAAAUGGCUUUAAACAUCUGAUUUGAAGGUAAAUUUGACUCAAAUUAUAUAACGUAUUAAAAAAGAAAAUUUAGGUAACAGAUCUCUUACUAUCCAAAUAUGAUCUGUACUUACAGUCUGAACCCACUGAAGACUUGGAGACCGCAGCAACAUUCUCUGAGUUGGGAUCAGGUUCCAUUACUCUAAUAUUUAAUUUUGCACUCCACUCCACUGGGGAAGAAAGAAACAAUGAUUCACUUCUAAGAGGUUUACCAAAAGCUUUUCAAAGCUUGUUAUUUAAAGCCAGUCCUGAAUGUCUCAGGGCAGACCGCCACAGAAAGCUGUGACUGCCAACUGGUAUGAGAGGAGAUGGAGAAGAGUAACCUAUGCAGGCCAUGCACACACUCGCAUGUACUUCUGGAGCGGCGGCAGGAGGGUGGGGAAGGUAAGAGCAGCCCUCAUCUUUAAUUGUACAGUUAAUAUCCUUUCCAUUCUCCUUUUGUUCUAAGUUCUCACACAUCACAACUGUACUCCUAAUGUACUAUUCUAGGUGUUAGGUUGGG